UUCACCGCGAGGGGGGGCGCCGGAGGGGGGGAAGAGGAGGCUGGGGGGCGCGCCCGGGCGCCGGGGCAGCGAGCGGGAUGUAGCGAUGGGAUGCUGCGCUGGGAUCUGGCCCUGGUCGGCUCGGAGGAGCCGGAUGGUGCCGAGGCGAGCGACAGUCGCCUCAUGUCGUCCUCACCCGUGAGGCCCGCAGUGGUACAGCCGAGGAACCUUUCCUUCCCCUCACGCAGCAGGUCCCAGCGAGGGGCGGGAAUUGCCGUGAGGCAGCGCUUCCCUCGGCUCUGCAGCCCGGCCGGAGCGCCCCGCUCCGCCUGCGGGGCGCAAGGCGAAACGUUUCUAAGCGCGUUCCUGACGGGGAACGCUUCAUAACUGUCUUGAAGAUGUUGGUCUGAAGAUUUGUAAAGUCAAGAACUGCAGAGAGUUGAGGCAAGAAGGUAUUUGAGAGACCCAGAGAAGUUACCAGGGAAGAACCAAUUUUUAACCUUACAUUUCAAUCAGGCAUAAAAUCAGAAUCUUCCAGAAUCCAGAUGAGGAAACUGGAACAACAAAGUUUGAUGAUACGUCCAUGAUCAUGCAGGAAGUGUCUGAUACAUCUGGAAACGAAGCCUGGUAAUUCACACAGAGUAUACGUAGGAGAAGUUGAGCACGUUUUACUGGACCAAAGCAGGAGUGUGUGAGGUGAUGUUGUAUUGGUCUGCCCAGCAGAAAACAGAUGCUGUUUCAGAAAAAGACAACAGUUUCUGCCAGUGUAAAAACAAAGGGGAAGAAUUCUCUCAGAAAGCAUCUUUUCUUGUAUAAUGAUUUUAAAAGACAAAUAUUUCCAGUUACUCAAAAUUUUUCUUUCCAACUAUUAUUCAAAGACUUUCUUCUCUCUAUGCUUUUUCCCUUUCCCAUUCUUUCUGUUCCAGUUUGGAAAGUGUUAUGAUGACCAUGACAAUUUGAGGCAGUAAGUGAGGAAAGGUUUGUGAGGAGAAUAGGUUAUUAGACUGAUAGAGUGGUAAAAAAUGACCAUACUUCAAUGCACAGGUGUGAUCUGAGGAAAGAUUUGUUUGUUCAGUACCUUAUCUGUGUUUGUUACUGUGUCACCUGAUGUAAUAACAGAAAAAAAAAACCAAAACUUUGACUUCUAUUUUCCAUUUGUCUGUCCAAUUUCUCUGCCCAUCCUCUGUUUUCAACUCUGAAAACAAAUGGUGAAAACAAAUGGAGACAAAAUAUGGAGAAAGUUGAAUAGAAAGGGAAUGCUAAAACUUUUUUCUUAUUAAUUCACGUGGUGGGGCUUGUGUGCUUUUGGGAGAGGAAGAUGACUUUUAAUAGCAAAACAUUACUUAAAAACAAAUGAAAAAAUGCUACUGCAUAAAUACAUUUUGCAUAUAAAUUUAUGUAAGACAAAACCCAUUGACUGAAAAUAUAUACCUCAGUUUAAAGCUGAGCUCGCAUCUUUGUGUCUUUUGAAAAAUACCAUUUUAUUUUGCACACCAACUUUUAAAACAAAUUAUGUGUC